GAUGAACGCUGGCGGCGUGCCUAAUACAUGCAAGUCGAGCGAACAGACGAGGAGCUUGCUCCUCUGACGUUAGCGGCGGACGGGUGAGUAACACGUGGAUAACCUACCUAUAAGACUGGGAUAACUUCGGGAAACCGGAGCUAAUACCGGAUAAUAUAUUGAACCGCAUGGUUCAAUAGUGAAAGACGGUUUUGCUGUCACUUAUAGAUGGAUCCGCGCCGCAUUAGCUAGUUGGUAAGGUAACGGCUUACCAAGGCAACGAUGCUUAGCCGACCUGAGGGGGUGAUCGGCCACACUGGCACUGAGACACGGUCCAGAAUCCUACGGGAGGCAGCAGUAGGGAAUCUUCCGCAAUGGGCGAAAGCCUGACGGAGCAACGCCGCGUGAGUGAUGAAGGUCUUCGGAUCGUAAAACUCUGUUAUUAGGGAAGAACAAAUGUGUAAGUAACUAUGCACGUCUUGACGGUACCUAAUCAGAAAGCCACGGCUAACUACGUG
rnacentral:rRNA from 1 species